rnacentral:rRNA from 1 species
GGGUUGUGAGGUUAAGCGACUAAGCGUACACGGUGGAUGCCCUGGCAGUCAGAGGCGAUGAAGGGCGUGCUAAUCUGCGAUAAGCGCCGGUAAGGUGAUAUGAACCGUUAUAACCGGCGAUACCCGAAUGGGGAAACCCAGUGUGACUCGUCACACUAUCAUUAACUGAAUCCAUAGGUUAAUGAGGCGAACCGGGGGAACUGAAACAUCUAAGUACCCCGAGGAAAAGAAAUCAACCGAGAUUCCCCCAGUAGCGGCGAGCGAACGGGGAGGAGCCCAGAGCCUGAAUCAGCAUGUGUGUUAGUGGAAGCGUCUGGAAAGGCGCGCGAUACAGGGUGACAGCCCCGUACACAAAAGCGCAUGUGCUGUGAGCUCGAUGAGUAGGGCGGGACACGUGGUAUCCUGUCUGAAUAUGGGGGGACCAUCCUCCAAGGCUAAAUACUCCUGACUGACCGAUAGUGAACCAGUACCGUGAGGGAAAGGCGAAAAGAACCCCGGGAGGGGAGUGAAAAAGAACCUGAAACCGUGUACGUACAAGCAGUGGGAGCCCCACCACCAAAGCAUUCUCUGGUGUUGAAGGCCCUGCAAAGCAGCAUCGCGGUGGCGGAGCGUCGUUUGCGACGCCCAACACACAAAACAAGCGGUGAAUGCUUUGGGGUGGGGUGACUGCGUACCUUUUGUAUAAUGGGUCAGCGACUUAUAUUCUGUAGCAAGGUUAACCGAAUAGGGGAGCCGGAGGGAAACCGAGUCUUAAUUGGGCGUUAAGUUGCAGGGUAUAGACCCGAAACCCGGUGAUCUAGCCAUGGGCAGGUUGAAGGUUGGGUAACACUAACUGGAGGACCGAACCGACUAAUGUUGAAAAAUUAGCGGAUGACCUGUGGCUGGGGGUGAAAGGCCAAUCAAACCGGGAGAUAGCUGGUUCUCCCCGAAAGCUAUUUAGGUAGCGCCUCGUGAAUUCAUCUCCGGGGGUAGAGCACUGUUUCGGCUAGGGGGCCAUCCCGGCUUACCAACCCGAUGCAAACUGCGAAUACCGGAGAAUGUUAUCACGGGAGACACACGGCGGGUGCUAACGUCCGUCGUGAAGAGGGAAACAACCCAGACCGCCAGCUAAGGUCCCAAAGUCAUGGUUAAGUGGGAAACGAUGUGGGAAGGCCCAGACAGCCAGGAUGUUGGCUUAGAAGCAGCCAUCAUUUAAAGAAAGCGUAAUAGCUCACUGGUCGAGUCGGCCUGCGCGGAAGAUGUAACGGGGCUAAACCAUGCACCGAAGCUGCGGCAGCGACGCUGAUGCGUUGUUGGGUAGGGGAGCGUUCUGUAAGCCUGCGAAGGUGACCUGUGAGGGUUGCUGGAGGUAUCAGAAGUGCGAAUGCUGACAUAAGUAACGAUAAAGCGGGUGAAAAGCCCGCUCGCCGGAAGACCAAGGGUUCCUGUCCAACGUUAAUCGGGGCAGGGUGAGUCGACCCCUAAGGCGAGGCCGAAAGGCGUAGUCGAUGGGAAACGGGUUAAUAUUCCCGUACUUGGUGUUACUGCGAAGGGGGGACGGAGAAGGCUAUGUUGGCCGGGCGACGGUUGUCCCGGUUUAAGCGUGUAGGUGUGUGUUCCAGGUAAAUCCGGUUCACUUUAACACUGAGGCGUGAUGACGAGGCACUACGGUGCUGAAGCAACAAAUGCCCUGCUUCCAGGAAAAGCCUCUAAGCAUCAGGUAACAUCAAAUCGUACCCCAAACCGACACAGGUGGUCAGGUAGAGAAUACCAAGGCGCUUGAGAGAACUCGGGUGAAGGAACUAGGCAAAAUGGUGCCGUAACUUCGGGAGAAGGCACGCUGACACGUAGGUGAAGUGAUUUACUCACGGAGCUGAAGUCAGUCGAAGAUACCAGCUGGCUGCAACUGUUUAUUAAAAACACAGCACUGUGCAAACACGAAAGUGGACGUAUACGGUGUGACGCCUGCCCGGUGCCGGAAGGUUAAUUGAUGGGGUCAGCGCAAGCGAAGCUCCUGAUCGAAGCCCCGGUAAACGGCGGCCGUAACUAUAACGGUCCUAAGGUAGCGAAAUUCCUUGUCGGGUAAGUUCCGACCUGCACGAAUGGCGUAAUGAUGGCCAGGCUGUCUCCACCCGAGACUCAGUGAAAUUGAACUCGCUGUGAAGAUGCAGUGUACCCGCGGCAAGACGGAAAGACCCCGUGAACCUUUACUAUAGCUUGACACUGAACAUUGAGCCUUGAUGUGUAGGAUAGGUGGGAGGCUUUGAAGUGUGGACGCCAGUCUGCAUGGAGCCGACCUUGAAAUACCACCCUUUAAUGUUUGAUGUUCUAACGUGGACCCGUAAUCCGGGUUGCGGACAGUGUCUGGUGGGUAGUUUGACUGGGGCGGUCUCCUCCUAAAGAGUAACGGAGGAGCACGAAGGUUGGCUAAUCCUGGUCGGACAUCAGGAGGUUAGUGCAAUGGCAUAAGCCAGCUUGACUGCGAGCGUGACGGCGCGAGCAGGUGCGAAAGCAGGUCAUAGUGAUCCGGUGGUUCUGAAUGGAAGGGCCAUCGCUCAACGGAUAAAAGGUACUCCGGGGAUAACAGGCUGAUACCGCCCAAGAGUUCAUAUCGACGGCGGUGUUUGGCACCUCGAUGUCGGCUCAUCACAUCCUGGGGCUGAAGUAGGUCCCAAGGGUAUGGCUGUUCGCCAUUUAAAGUGGUACGCGAGCUGGGUUUAGAACGUCGUGAGACAGUUCGGUCCCUAUCUGCCGUGGGCGCUGGAGAACUGAGGGGGGCUGCUCCUAGUACGAGAGGACCGGAGUGGACGCAUCACUGGUGUUCGGGUUGUCAUGCCAAUGGCACUGCCCGGUAGCUAAAUGCGGAAGAGAUAAGUGCUGAAAGCAUCUAAGCACGAAACUUGCCCCGAGAUGAGUUCUCCCUGAGACUUAGAGUCUCCUGAAGGAACGUUGAAGACGACGACGUUGAUAGGCCGGGUGUGUAAGCGCAGCGAUGCGUUGAGCUAACCGGUACUAAUGAACCGUGAGGCUUAACCUUACAACGCCGAAG